rnacentral:piRNA from 1 species
UGCGCAUAAUACGGAAUCUCACCCAAGC